UACGAAGGGGGCGAGCGUUGUUCGGAAUCACUGGGCUUAAAGCGUACGUAGGCGGCCAUCCAAGUCAGGAGUGAAAUCCCGGGGCUCAACCCCGGAAUUGCUUUUGAAACUGGACGGCUAGUGUCCCGGAGAGGUUGGCGGAAUUCCGAGUGUAGAGGUGAAAUUCGCAGAUAUUCGGAGGAACACCAGUGGCGAAGGCGGCCAACUGGACGGGUACAGACGCUGAGGUACGAAAGCGUGGGGAUCAAACAGG
rnacentral:misc_RNA from 1 species